rnacentral:lncRNA from 1 species
GUCAUAUUUAGUGCCGCUAGUGAAAUCGUAGCAGGCAGAGGAGUGAAAGAUUAGUCUACGCAGAAGCAUUGAAAGAACUGUUCAAAUACCGAAGGGUGAUUUUUUGUAAAAGUUUUUUUGUCCCCGCACUCGACAGCAACAUACGAGCGGAUUAUGAUUGUCAAGAACUUGAAGAAGCGUGAGAGAAGAUAAAGUACCUAACGUUGAUCCUUGGAUAAAGGCAUAUCACCUAGUAGUCGCCUACCUAACUACCAACGGGAAAAGUUGACUCGUCCGUGCUACUGCAGGGUAAGAUGAAGGGAAUGGGCGGGCUCAUAGAGCUGGUGUCCAGCACUGGCUCUCAGGUGUUCGUCACCAUGAAGCACUCAGCUAAGCAGAUGAGAUUGUUCUUCCUGGCCAUGGAGACGACGGCAACUUGUUCCAGUAACCAUUCCUGCAAGCUGAAUUGAAAUAAUUGUUCAUUAUUUUUGCCAUCUUUCAUGCCAUCCAGUAAUGUGUAUAGUCAAAUCAAACUGAUCUUUCUUUAAUGUUUGAGUUUUUAUAUUGGUUGUUGACAGUUCAUAAUCAUACUUAAAUGUAUGCUAUAUUUCUCCAAUUUAAAUGUGUCUAUUAUUGUAUAAAAAUGUAUUCUAGUAAUGAUUAUUUAAUGCAAACAAUACCAGCAGUUUAAAAAAUAAUAAACACAUUGCAAAUCUCUUUUGAAACAACCGAGCUGAGUG